CCCAUGAAAAUUGAGCAUUGCGAAACUUGUUCGCUCCAGCCAUAUGUGAAUCGAGAGGGUUUAGCUUCAACAAUCUUGGAGCCGAAAUCUUAUUCCCCAUACGACCGGUGAAACCUGUCUUAGUACUUCCGUUCUUGUCAACAAACAAGGUGCAUACAGCUUCAACAAUCGUGGAGCCGAAAUCUUAUUCCCCAUACGACCGGUGAAACCUGUCUUAGUACUUCCGUUCUUGUCAACAAACAAGGUGCAUAUCAAUACCAAGUAAGUAUCAGUUGUCCCCAAUAUCCACUUCCCGUCAUAGGUAACAUCCACAUGAGU
rnacentral:lncRNA from 1 species